UCCUAUGGGGGGCACAGCGCUCGGCCGACCCCCCCUCUGUCCUCUUCUGUCCUAUGGGGGACAACGGGGGGCACAGCGCUCAGCCGACCCCCCCCCAUCUGCUUUUUCCUCCCCUUCCCUGCAGGGUUGACCGACUUCAAACCAGGACAUUGGGUGGGGGUCCACUACGAUGAGCCCGUGGGGAAACACGACGGCAGCGUCGGUGGCCGCCGUUACUUCGAGUGCCCUGAGCCCUACGGAACCUUCGUGCGGCCGCAGCGCGUCACCGUCGGGGAUUUCCCUCCAGAGGACGACGGCUUGGAUGAGCUGUGAGGGGCAACGUUUGGGGGGGCAAAACACCGGGAUUUUGGAUCAGC